GAUGAACGCUGGCGGCGUGCCUAAUACAUGCAAGUCGAGCGAACAGACGAUGAGCUUGCUCCUCUGACGUUAGCGGCUGACGGGUGAGUAACACGUGGAUAACCUUCCUCUAAGACUUGGAUAACUUCGUGAAACCGGAGCUAAUACCGGAUCAUAUAUUGUACCGCUUGGUUCAAUAGUUAAAGACGGUUUUGCUGUCACUUUUAGAUGGAUCCGCGCCGGAUUAGCUAGUUGGUAAGGUAAAGGCUUACCAAGGCGACGAUGCGUAGCCGACCUGAGAGGAUGAUCGGCCACACUGGAACUGAGACACGGUCCAGACUCCUACGGGAGGCAGCAGUGGGGAAUAUUGGACAAUGGGCGCAAGCCUGAUCCAGCCAUACCGCGUGGGUGAAGAAGGCCUUCGGGUCGUAAAGCCCUUUUGUUGGGAAAGAAAAGCAGCAGGUUAAAACCCCGCUGUUCUGACGGUACCCAAAGAAUAAGCACCGGCUAACUUCGUG
rnacentral:rRNA from 1 species